CUUACGUCUGAUUUUAUUGUGAUUUAUUUCUCUGAUUUUAUUCUUGAUUUAUUUCUCAAGAUCUGAUUUUAUUCUGAUUCAUUUCUCUUACAUCUGAUUUUAUUCUGAUUUAUUUCUCUUACAUCUUAUUUUAUUGGGAUUUAUUUCUCAGUUUUUAUUGUGAUUUAUUUCUCUCACAUCUGAUUUUAUUCUGAUUCAUUUCUCUGAUUUUAUUCUGAUUCAUGUCUCUUAUUAUUUUAUUCUGAUUCAUUUCUCUGAUUUUUUUCUGAUUCAUUUCUCUUAUUAUUUUAUUCUGAUUUAUUUCUCUUACAUCUGAUUUUAUUCUGAUUUAUUUCUCAGAUUUUAUUCUGAUUUAUUUCUCUCACAUCUGAUUUUAUUCUCAUUCAUUUCUCUGAUUUUAUUCUGAUUCAUUUCUCUUAUUAUUUUAUUCUGAUUUAUUUCUCUGAUUUUAUUCUGAUUUAUUUGUCUUACAUCUGAUUUUAUUCUGAUUAAUUUCUCUUAUUAUUUUAUUCUGAUUCAUUUCUCUAGGUGUGAUUUGAUUCUGAUUAAUUUCUCUUACAUCUGAUUUUAUUCUGACUUAUUUCUCAGAUUUUAUUCUGAUUCAUUUCUCUUAUUAUUUUAUUCUGAUUCAUUUCUCUGAUUUUAUUCUGAUUUAUUUAUCUUAUGAUUUUUUUCUGAUUUAUUUCUCUAGGUCUGAUUUUAUUCUGAUUUACUUCUCUUACAUCUGAUUUUAUUGUGAUUUAUUUCUCUGAUUUUAUUCUGAUUCAUUUCUCUCUCAUCUGAUUUUAUUCUGAUUUAUUUCUCAGAUUUUACUGUGAUUUAUUUCUCAGAUUUUAUUCUGAUUCAUUUCUCUUACAUCUGAUUUUAUUCUGAUUAAUUUCUCUGAUUUUAUUCUGAUUCAUUUCUCUAGGUGUGAUUUGAUUCUGAUUAAUUUCUCUUACAUCUGAUUUUAUUCUGAUUCAUUUCUCUGAUUUUAUUCACUUCAUAAUCCUCAAAAAUUCCCCUAAAAUCCUCAAAAUUUCACUUUAAGGGACUUUUUGAGGAUUUAAAAUCCUCAAAAAUUCACUUUAAAAUCCUCAAAAUUUCACUUUAAAGCCUCAAAAAUGUCACAUAAAAUAUUGAAAAAUUUCACUU
rnacentral:lncRNA from 1 species